GACGAACGCUGGCGGCGUGCUUAACACAUGCAAGUCGAACGGAAAGGCCCUGCUUUUGUGGGGUGCUCGAGUGGCGAACGGGUGAGUAACACGUGAGUAACCUGCCCUUGACUUUGGGAUAACUUCAGGAAACUGGGGCUAAUACCGGAUAGGAGCUCCUGCUGCAUGGUGGGGGUUGGAAAGUUUCGGCGGUUGGGGAUGGACUCGCGGCUUAUCAGCUUGUUGGUGGGGUAGUGGCUUACCAAGGCUUUGACGGGUAGCCGGCCUGAGAGGGUGACCGGCCACAUUGGGACUGAGAUACGGCCCAGACUCCUACGGGAGGCAGCAGUGGGGAAUAUUGCACAAUGGGCGGAAGCCUGAUGCAGCAACGCCGCGUGCUGGAUGACGGCCUUCGGGUUGUAACCCGCUUUCGCCUGUGACGAAGCGUGAGUGGCGGUAAUGGGUAAAGAAGCACCGGCUAACUACGUG
rnacentral:rRNA from 1 species